AAUUAUAAAUUAUAUUCUUCCAGAUCAGCCUUGAUGGACUGGAGAUUAUUCCUGUGGCAGCAGUGACUGGAUGCUUUUGGCAAACCCGUGGCUGUGUGGGACAACGAAGAAUGAGGCAGAGCUGAAGGGUGAGGGCCAGAUUGAAUGUGUAUUUACUUGUCCUGAUGCGAGGAAGGGGAGAAGAUGGAGCCAGGCUCUUCCCAGUGGUGUUCAGUGACAGGACAAAAGGUAAUGGGCACAAACAGAAAUACUGGAAAUGCUUUUAAAUGUAAG
rnacentral:lncRNA from 12 species